AAUUGCUGCUCCAGGUGGGAUUCCUGAUCCAGAUGAGGAAUGUCCAGCCCAGGCUGGGAGUUCCCACUCCGGGCUGCCCUGCUGUGUUGCAGUCGGUGUCGGCGCUGCUGGANUCUGCUGUGAGAUGUGACUAGGAAUAAGCAAAGCAGGCCUCUACUUAGAAAUAAAGAAGACAAAACUUUAUUAACUAGCAUACAACUAUAUGUAAAAAGAAACACCCAGAAAGAAUGAGAACUUUCUAAAAACAUUUCUGUCCCAGGUUGGGGUUUCCCUGUCCCAGCUGUGCACUCCCUGUCCCAGCUGUGCAUUCCCUGCCCAGCUGUGCAUUCCCUGUCCCAGCUGUGCAUUCCCUGUCCAGCUGUGCAUUCCCUGCCCAGCUGUGCAUUCCCUGUCCCAGGUUGGGUUUCCCUGUCCCAGGUUGGGUUUCCCUGUCCCAGCUGUGAAUUCCCUGUCCCAGCUGUGCAUUCCCUGUCCCAGGUUGGGAUUUCCCUGUCCCAGAUGUGCAUUCCCUGUCCCAGAUGUGCAUUCCCUGUCCCAGCUGUGCAUUCCCUGCCCAGCUGUGCAUUCCCUGUCCCAGGUUGGGUUUCCCUGUCCCAGGUGUGCAUUCCCUGUCCCAGGUGUGCAUUCCCUGUCCAGCUGUGCAUUCCCAGUCCCAGCUGUGAAUUCCCUGUCCCAGGUUCGGAUUUCCCUGUCCCAGCUGUGCAUUCCCUGUCCCAGCUGUGCAUUCCCUGUCCCAGGUGGGAUUUCCCUGUCCCAGGUUGGGGUUUCCCUGCCCAGCUGUGCAUUCCCUGUCCAGCUGUGCAUUCCCUGUCCCAGCUGUGCAUUCCCUGUCCCAGGUUCGGAUUUCCCUGUCCCAGCUGUGCAUUCCCUGUCCAGCUGUGCAUUCCCUGUCCCAGGCUGGGUUUCCCUGUCCAGCUGUGCACUCCCUGUCCCAGCUGUGCAUUCCCUGUCCAGCUGUGCAUUCCCUGUCCAGCUGUGCAUUCCUGUCCCCGCAGAUGGCAGCCGGGGCUGUGGAGGCCAGCGCCAAGAUCUACGCCAUGCGCGUGGAUUCCUUGCACGCCGAAACCUUCAGGGUCCUGGGCCAGCUGGGCAAGCAGCCCCGCGCUGCCCGGGACACAGAGAGCCCCCAGGAAGACUCCAGCCCAGCCCCUGAGGCUGCCAGGAAGGCUCAGCCAAAGAAGAAGCAGCAAGGCUACAAAACCAUCGAGCAGAACCUGAGCAACAUCAACGCGCCCGAGGGCAGCCAGAGGCCUGAGGUGGGCCUGGGCUGAUUCAUUCUGGAUUCCCAUUUCCCAGUAUCCAUCUCCGUUCCCAGAUUCCCAUUCCCCACUUCCCACCUCCAUUCCUGAAUUCCCUUCUCCAUUCCCUGCUUCCCCUCUCAAUUCCCC
rnacentral:lncRNA from 1 species